UACAGAGGUCUCAAGCGUUGUUCGGAUUCAUUGGGCGUAAAGGGUGCGUAGGCGGUAGUGCAAGUCAGGUGUGAAAUCCCGGGGCUCAACCCCGGAACUGCACUUGAUACUGCUUUACUAGAGUACUGGAGAGGAGACUGGAAUUUACGGUGUAGCAGUGAAAUGCGUAGAUAUCGUAAGGAAGACCAGUGGCGAAGGCGAGUCUCUGGACAGUUACUGACGCUGAGGCACGAAGGCCAGGGGAGCAAACGGG
rnacentral:rRNA from 1 species